rnacentral:rRNA from 1 species
AGAGUUUGAUCCUGGCUCAGGAUUAACGCUGGCGGCGUGCCUAACACAUGCAAGUCGAACGAGGUAGCAAUACCUAGUGGCAGACGGGUGAGUAACGCGUGGUCAACCUACCAUCGAGCGGGGGAUAACUAGCCGAAAGGCUAGCUAAUACCGCAUAACACCAUAGCCGGCAUCGGCAGUGGUUGAAAGCAGCAAUGCAC